rnacentral:rRNA from 1 species
AAAUUGAAGAGUUUGAUCAUGGCUCAGAUUGAACGCUGGCGGCAGGCCUAACACAUGCAAGUCGAGCGGAAACGAGUUAUCUGAACCUUCGGGGGACGAUAACGGCGUCGAGCGGCGGACGGGUGAGUAAUGCCUAGGAAAUUGCCCUGGUGUGGGGGAUAACCAUUGGAAACGAUGGCUAAUACCGCAUAAUACCUACGGGUCAAAGAGGGGGACCUUCGGGCCUCUCGCGUCAGGAUAUGCCUAGGUGGGAUUAGCUAGUUGGUGAGGUAAUGGCUCACCAAGGCGACGAUCCCUAGCUGGUCUGAGAGGAUGAUCAGCCACACUGGAACUGAGACACGGUCCAGACUCCUACGGGAGGCAGCAGUGGGGAAUAUUGCACAAUGGGCGCAAGCCUGAUGCAGCCAUGCCGCGUGUGUGAAGAAGGCCUUCGGGUUGUAAAGCACUUUCAGUCGUGAGGAAGGUAGUGUAGUUAAUAGCUGC